GUGGUGCAUGGUUGUCGUCAGCUCGUGUCGUGAGAUGUUGGGUUAAGUCCCGCAACGAGCGCAACCCUUAAGCUUAGUUGCCAUCAUUAAGUUGGGCACUCUAAGUUGACUGCCGGUGACAAACCGGAGGAAGGUGGGGAUGACGUCAAAUCAUCAUGCCCCUUAUGAUUUGGGCUACACACGUGCUACAAUGGACAAUACAAAGGGCAGCGAAACCGCGAGGUCAAGCAAAUCCCAUAAAGUUGUUCUCAGUUCGGAUUGUAGUCUGCAACUCGACUACAUGAAGCUGGAAUCGCUAGUAAUCGUAGAUCAGCAUGCUACGGUGAAUACGUUCCCGGGUCUUGUACACACCGCCCGUCACACCACGAGAGUUUGUAACACCCGAAGC
rnacentral:rRNA from 1 species